UAGCCAAUUAAGCCUAGCUUAGUGUUGGGGUUCGCAUUCCAGCGGCCUCUAAAACCAGUGGCGGUGCCUGUAGGCUCUACGCGUAGUAAUACUUCUCGCUAUAGAGUCCUGCUGGUUACCUGCCAGAACCCCCAUAUUUUUAUA
rnacentral:misc_RNA from 1 species